rnacentral:rRNA from 1 species
AUUGAACGCUGGCGGCAUGCCUUACACAUGCAAGUCGAACGGCAGCACGGGAGCAAUCCUGGUGGCGAGUGGCGAACGGGUGAGUAAUAUAUCGGAACGUGCCCAGUAGUGGGGGAUAACUGCUCGAAAGAGCAGCUAAUACCGCAUACGACCUGAGGGUGAAAGGGGGGGAUCGCAAGACCUCUCGCUAUUGGAGCGGCCGAUAUCAGAUUAGCUAGUUGGUGGGGUAAAGGCCUACCAAGGCAACGAUCUGUAGUUGGUCUGAGAGGACGACCAGCCCCACUGGGACUGAGACACGGCCCAGACUCCUACGGGAGGCAGCAGUGGGGAAUUUUGGACAAUGGGCGCAAGCCUGAUCCAGCAAUGCCGCGUGCAGGAAGAAGGCCUUCGGGUUGUAAACUGCUUUUGUCAGGGAAGAAAUCCUCUAGGAGGUUCUCCUUCUAGAUUGACAGAGCCUCAGAGGAAGCACGGGCUAAGUAUGUGCCAGCCGCCGCCGUAAGAC